rnacentral:misc_RNA from 1 species
AAGUCGUAACAAGGUAACCGUAGGUGAACCUGCGGUUGGAUCAUUAACAAAAUUUAUAUCCAAAAAAAAAGGAGGGGGGAGGAAAGAGAGAAAGUUUACUUUUUUUCUUUUUUUCUCUCUUUUUUUUUUUAACACCUUUGUGAAUUGUAAACUGUCUAAUUGGUGAGUUUCAAAAGAAUGUAAAUGAGGAAAAAUUUUUCUCAUUUCUUUCUUUAAAAAGAGAUUUUAAAAUUCUUUUUUGAAAUCUCACUCACCAUAUUAAAACUAUAAACAUUUUAAUUAUCAACUUAGUCUUAAAACAAUUUUUUUAUUAUUGAAAAAAUUAUAUUUUUUAAUUUUAAAACAACUUUUGACAACGGAUCUCUUGGCUCUU